rnacentral:rRNA from 1 species
ACGCUCGACACCUACGGGGGCAGCAGUGGGGAAUAUUGCACAAUGGGGGAAACCCUGAUGCAGCGACGCCGCGUGAGUGAAGAAGUAUUUCGGUAUGUAAAGCUCUAUCAGCAGGGAAGAAGAUGACGGUACCUGAGUAAGAAGCCCCGGCUAACUACGUCCCAGCAGCCGCGGUAAUCUGAGCGGGCUGGCAAGGC